rnacentral:lncRNA from 1 species
AAGAUGUCAAUGGGAUGCCAUGCAACUCGACAAACAGCCGGUCUAUGAAUGAAUGCAAUGCACCGGUAUCAAAUAAUGCUCGAACUCGAAUACCAUAAAGUAAAAUGAUACCUGCGACCACAUUCUCGGCUGCCGCCGCCUCCUCAGUCUGGGCCGCGUACAUGCGCCCGCUCGGGGCCUGUCGUGACCCCUCCGCCUGCCGCUGCACUGGCGGCCGUCCAGCCUGGUGAUGCGCAGAAGGUGUCCCCUGGCUGGGACCCGG